UAGGGAAUCUUCCACAAUGGACGCAAGUCUGAUGGAGCAACGCCGCGUGAGUGAAGAAGGUUUUCGGAUCGUAAAGCUCCGUUGUUGGCGAAGAAGGAUAGAGGCAGUAACUGGUCUUUAUUUGACGGUAAUCAACCAGAAAGUCACGGCUAACUACGUGCCAGCAGCCGCGGUAAUACGUAGGUGGCAAGCGUUGUCCGGAUUUAUUGGGCGUAAAGCGAGCGCAGGCGGAAUGAUAAGUCUGAUGUGAAAGCCCACGGCUCAACCGUGGAACUGCAUCGGAAACUGUCAUUCUUGAGUGCAGAAGAGGAGAGUGGAACUCCAUGUGUAGCGGUGGAAUGCGUAGAUAUAUGGAAGAACACCAGUGGCGAAGGCGGCUCUCUGGUCUGCAACUGACGCUGAGGCUCGAAAGCAUGGGUAGCGAACAGGAUUAGAUACCCUGGUAGUCCAUGCCGUAAACGAUGAGCGCUAGGUGUUGGGGACUUUCCGGUCCUCAGUGCCGCAGCAAACGCAUUAAGCGCUCCGCCUGGGGAGUACGACCGCAAGGUUGAAAC
rnacentral:rRNA from 1 species